AGCUGAUGAGCUGCCCCGACUCAUCCACGGUCAUCCUGGACACCUGGUUCGUGUGGCCUUUCCCAGCGAAGGAGUCGUUCUCCCCCGUCUCUGAAUCCCAGAUAUUAAUGUGUCCGUCGUGGCUCCCAGAGUAAAUGUAGGACUUGCCGCCGUUUUUAUGCACCGUCAGACACUGGAUCGAUUUACUGUGACCCUGUGAAGGAGACACACUGGGCGGGUAAGCUGAUGACACACUGCCCUGCCCUCUGCCACCCGCUUUCCACCAACGAAGCUUCUGGGUAAUGGAGGGGGCAGACGCCCCUCAAUCCAUGGCAGUGCAGGUGCUCUGAGGCCCCAGUAGCCCCAGC
rnacentral:lncRNA from 1 species